UACGAAGGGGGCUAGCGUUGCUCGGAAUCACUGGGCGUAAAGGGUGCGUAGGCGGGUCUUUUAAGUCAGGGGUGAAAUCCUGGAGCUCAACUCCAGAACUGCCUUUGAUACUGAGGAUCUUGAGUAUGGGAGAGGUGAGUGGAACUGCGAGUGUAGAGGUGAAAUUCGUAGAUAUUCGCAAGAACACCAGUGGCGAAGGCGGCUCACUGGCCCAUUACUGGACGCUGAGGUGCGAAAGCGUGGGGAGCAAACAGG
rnacentral:rRNA from 1 species